rnacentral:rRNA from 1 species
UGAGGAAUAUUGGUCAAUGGGCGUAAGCCUGAACCAGCCAAGUCGCGUGAAGGAAGACAGCCCUACGGGUCGUAAACUUCUUUUGUAUGGGAGUAAAAGAGUCCACGCGUGGGCUAUUGCAAGUACCAUACGAAUAAGCAUCGGCUAACUCCGUGCCAGCAGCCGCGGUAAUACGGAGGAUGCGAGCGUUAUCCGGAUUUAUUGGGUUUAAAGGGUGCGUAGGCGGCCCUAUAAGUCAGCGGUGAAAUGUUCCGGCUCAACCGGGAAACUGCCGUUGAAACUGUAGAGCUAGAGUCCACAAGAGGUAUGCGGAAUGCGUGGUGUAGCGGUGAAAUGCAUAGAUAUCACGCAGAACCCCGAUUGCGAAGGCAGCAUACUGGGGUGAAACAGACGCUGAAGCACGAAAGCGUGGGUAUCGAACAGGAUUAGAUACCCUGGUAGUCCACGCCGUAAACGAUGAAUACUAACUGUUUGCGAUAUACAGUAAGCGGUACAGCGAAAGCGUUAAGUAUUCCACCUGGGGAGUACGCCGGCAACGGUGAAACUCAAAGGAAUUGACGGGGGCCCGCACAAGCGGAGGAACAUGUGGUUUAAUUCGAUGAUACGCGAGGAACCUUACCCGGGCUCAAACGCAGGGGGAAUACGUAUGAAAGUACGUAGCUAGCAAUAGCCGCCUGCGAGGUGCUGCAUGGUUGUCGUCAGCUCGUGUCGUGAGGUGUCGGCUUAAGUGCCAUAACGAGCGCAACCCUUAUCGAUAGUUACUACCAGGUCAAGCUGAGGACUCAAUCGAGACUGCCAGCGUAAGCUGCGAGGAAGGUGGGGAUGACGUCAAAUCAGCACGGCCCUUACGUCCGGGGCGACACACGUGUUACAAUGGCAGGGACAGCGAGUAGCCAGGCAGCAAUGCCGCGCCAAUCUCGAAACCCUGUCCCAGUUCGGAUCGGAGUCUGCAACCCGACUCCGUGAAGCUGGAUUCGCUAGUAAUCGCGCAUCAGCCAUGGCGCGGUGAAUACGUUCCC